AAAAACUUAUAGGGGUGUCUUUAAAAUAAAUUUUUAAAGUCUGAGAUAAAACCCUUUGUUCUUCUUUAGAAGAACAGAACCUGAUGCAGAUAAUGCUGCCGAAGGGAAUUAAGUUGUAAGAGUAA
rnacentral:ncRNA from 1 species